rnacentral:rRNA from 1 species
CAGUAGCCACGGUAAUACGGAGGGCGCGAGCGUUACACGGAUUUACUGGGCGUAAAGGGCGUGUAGGCGGCCUGGGGCGUCCCAUGCGAAAGGCCACGGCUCAACCGUGGAGGAGCGUGGGAUACGCUCAGGCUAGAGGGUGGGAGAGGGUGGUGGAAUUCCCGGAGUAGCGGUGAAAUGCGCAGAUACCGGGAGGAACGCCGAUGGCGAAGGCAGCCACCUGGUCCACUUCUGACGCUGAGGCGCGAAAGCGUGGGGAGCAAACCGGAUUAGAUACCCCUGUAGUCCCUGUCUCUUAUAC